CUGAUAUAAAAGCAAGUAUCCCUUACAACCUGUUGCAUGGCAGGGUUGAAAGAGUGGUUUGAAAACCAGCAGAACAAAGGAUGAGGUCAGGCAGCAUCACGCACAGAAUAACUAUCUGGAGAUUAGGGAGUGAAUUUCAUCUCAUUUGGCAAAGGUGACAGCUGAGAACUGGAAGAGCCCUUUCUCCACACUAUGUAUUGACUCAUUCUGAUAUUAGAAAUUAAGCCACAUAAAGCAGCCCCAUGGGGCACAAGACAGCUACCUUCACUUGGACAAUCUUUGGCAGAGAGGUGAGACAGACAUCUGGGGAAAACAAUUACAUUACAAAGCCAUUACAACAGGAUUCAACAACAUCUGGUUGAUCCAAGAAAGGUACAAACAUGAGGAGAACAAGGUGUGCACAGCUGAGAUACUGUUUUGAG